rnacentral:rRNA from 1 species
UACGUAGGGUGCGAGCGUUAAUCGGAAUUACUGGGCGUAAAGCGUGCGCAGGCGGUUUUGUAAGCCAGAUGUGAAAUCCCCGGGCUUAACCUGGGAAUGGCAUUUGGGACUGCAAGGCUUGAGUGCGGCAGAGGAGACUGGAAUUCCUGGUGUAGCAGUGAAAUGCGUAGAUAUCAGGAGGAACACCGAUGGCGAAGGCAGCUUUCUGGUCUAAGACUGACGCUGAGGUGCGAAAGCGUGGGGAGCGAACGGG